rnacentral:rRNA from 1 species
AACGAACGCUGGCGGCGUGCUCAACACAUGCAAGUCGAACGUGAAAGGCUUCGGCCGAGUAAAGUGGCGCACGGGUGAGUAACGCGUGGGUAAUCUGCCCUUGGGCGGGGGAUAACCUCUCGAAAGGGGGGCUAAUACCGCAUGAGACCACGGCUUCUCGGGGCUGUGGGAAAAGGUGGGUCGCAAGGCCUGCCACCUGAGGAUGAGCCCGCGUACCAUUAGGUUGUUGGUGGGGUAAUGGCCUACCAAGCCGAAGAUGGUUAGCUGGUCUGAGAGGACGAUCAGCCACACUGGGACUGAGACACGGCCCAGACUCCUACGGGAGGCAGCAGUGGGGAAUAUUGCGCAAUGGGGGAAACCCUGACGCAGCAACGCCGCGUGUGUGAAGAAGGCC